GACGAACGCUGGCGGCGUGCUUAACACAUGCAAGUCGAGCGGAAAGGCCCUUCGGGGUACUCGAGCGGCGAACGGGUGAGUAACACGUGAGUAACCUGCCCCAGACUGUGGGAUAACCCUCGGAAACGGGGGCUAAUACCGGAUACGUCACAGCUUCGCAUGGGGUCUGUGUGGAAAGUUUUUCGGUUUGGGAUGGGCUCGCGGCCUAUCAGCUUGUUGGUGGGGUGAUGGCCUACCAAGGCGACGACGGGUAGCCGGCCUGAGAGGGCGACCGGCCACACUGGGACUGAGACACGGCCCAGACUCCUACGGGAGGCAGCAGUGGGGAAUAUUGCACAAUGGGCGGAAGCCUGAUGCAGCGACGCCGCGUGAGGGAUGACGGCCUUCGGGUUGUAAACCUCUUUCAGCAGGGACGAAGCGUAAGUGACGGUACCUGCAGAAGAAGCGCCGGCCAACUACGUG
rnacentral:rRNA from 1 species